UACGGAGGGUGCGAGCGUUGUCCGGAAUCACUGGGCGUCAAGGGCGCGUAGGCGGCGCGGGAAGUCCGUGGUGAAAGCCCGAGGCUCAACUUCGGGUCGGCCAUGGAUACUCCUGGGCUCGAGCACUGUAGAGGCAGGUGGAAUUCCGGGUGUAGCGGUGGAAUGCGUAGAGAUCCGGAAGAACACCGGUGGCGAAGGCGGCCUGCUGGGCAGUAGCUGACGCUGAGGCGCGACAGCGUGGGGAGCAAACAGG
rnacentral:rRNA from 1 species